rnacentral:tRNA from 1 species
UGUCCAGGGAUGGGAAACGAACCCACAGUGUUCUGCUUACCGGGUAGAUGACGUGUCCACUAGGCUACCCUGUAC